GAUGAACGCUGGCGGCGUGCCUAAUACAUGCAAGUAGAACGCUGAAGGAGGAGCUUGCUCUUCUGGAUGAGUUGCGAACGGGUGAGUAACGCGUAGGUAACCUGCCUGGUAGCGGGGGAUAACUAUUGGAAACGAUAGCUAAUACCGCAUGACAACAGUUAUUGCAUGAUAACUGUUUAAAAGGGGCAACUGCUCCACUACCAGAUGGACCUGCGUUGUAUUAGCUAGUUGGUGAGGUAACGGCUCACCAAGGCGACGAUACAUAGCCGACCUGAGAGGGGGGUCGGCCACACUGAGACGGAGACACGGCCCAGACACCUACGGGAGGCAGCAGUAGGGAAUCUUCGGCAAUGGACGGAAGUCUGACCGAGGAACGCCGGGUGAGUGAAGAAGGGUUUCGGAUCGUAAAGCUCGGUUGUAAGAGAGGAACGAGUGUGAGAGUGGAAAGUGCACACUGUGACGGUAGCUUACCAGAAAGGGACGGCUAACUACGUG
rnacentral:rRNA from 1 species